GAUGAACGCUGGCGGCGUGCCUAAUACAUGCAAGUCGAGCGAACAGACGAGGAGCUUGCUCCUUCGACGUUAGCGGCGGACGGGUGAGUAACACGUAUGUAACCUACCUAUAAGACUGGGAUAACUUCGGGAAACCGGAGAUAAUACCGGAUAAUAUUUCGAACCGCAUGGUUCGAUAGUGAAAGAUGGCGUUGCUGUCACUUAUAGAUGGACCUGCGCCGUAUUAGCUAGUUGGUAAGGUAACGGCUUACCAAGGGAACGAUACGUAGCCGACCUGAGAGGGUGAUCGGCGACAUUGGAACUGGGACACGGUCCAGGCUACUACGGGAGGCAGCAGUAGGGAAUGUGCCGCAAUGGGCGAAAGCAUGACGGAGCAACGCCGCGUGAGUGAUGAAGGUCUUCGGAUCGUAAAACUCUGUUAUUAGGGAAGAACAAAUGUGGAAGUAGAUGAGCACGUCGUGACGGUACCUAAUAAGAAAGCACCGGCUAACUACGUG
rnacentral:rRNA from 1 species